AUUGAACGCUGGCGGCAUGCCUUACACAUGCAAGUCGAACGGUAAGGCCCUUCGGGGUACACGAGUGGCGAACGGGUGAGUAACACGUGGGUGAUCUGCCCUGCACUUCGGGAUAAGCCUGGGAAACUGGGUCUAAUACCGGAUAGGACCACUGCCUGCAUGGGUGGUGGUGGAAAGCUUUUGCGGUGUGGGAUGGGCCCGCGGCCUAUCAGCUUGUUGGUGGGGUGAUGGCCUAACAAGGCGACGACGGGUAGCCGGCCUGAGAGGGUGACCGGCAACACUGGGACUGGGAUACGGCCCAGACUCCUGCGGGAGGCAGCAGUGGGGAAUAUUGCACAAUGGGCGCAAGCCUGAUGCAGCGACGCCGCGUGAGGGAUGACGGCCUUCGGGUUGUAAACCUCUUUCAGCACCGACGAAGCGCAAGUGACGGUAGGUGCAGAAGAAGGACCGGCCAACUACGUGACAGCCGCCGCCGUAA
rnacentral:rRNA from 1 species